rnacentral:rRNA from 1 species
UACGUAGGGAGCAAGCGUUGUCCGGAAUUACUGGGCGUAAAGGGUGCGUAGGCGGCUAUGCAAGUCAGAUGUGAAAUCCCCGGGCUUAACUCGGGUGGUGCAUUUGAAACUGCGUGGCUUGAGUGCAGGAGAGGAAAGUGGAAUUCCUAGUGUAGCGGCGGAAUGCGUAGAUAUUAGGAGGAACACCAGUGGCGAAGGCGACUUUCUGGACUGUAACUGACGCUGAGGCACGAAAGCGUGGGGAGCAAAC